AACGAACGCUGGCGGCAGGCCUAACACAUGCAAGUCGAGCGAAGCCCUCGGGCUUAGCGGCGGACGGGUGAGUAACGCGUGGGAACGUGCCCUUUGGUACGGAAUAGCCCCGGGAAACUGGGAGUAAUACCGUAUGUGCCCUUCGGGGGAAAGAUUUAUCGCCAAAGGAUCGGCCCGCGUUGGAUUAGGUAGUUGGUGGGGUAAUGGCCUACCAAGCCGACGAUCCAUAGCUGGUUUGAGAGGAUGAUCAGCCACACUGGGACUGAGACACGGCCCAGACUCCUACGGGAGGCAGCAGUGGGGAAUCUUAGACAAUGGGGGAAACCCUGAUCUAGCCAUGCCGCGAGAUCGAUGAAGGCCUUAGGGUUGUAAAGAUCUUUCAGUGGGGAAGAUAAUGACUGUACCCACAGAAGAAGCCCCGGCUAACUCCGUGCCAGCAGCCGCAGUAACAC
rnacentral:rRNA from 1 species